rnacentral:rRNA from 1 species
UACGUAGGCGGCAAGCGUUGUUCGGAGUUACUGGGCGUAAGGGGUGCGUAGGCGGCCGUGUAAGUGUGGUGUGAAAUCUCCCGGCUUAACUGGGAGGGUGCGCUACAGACUGCAUGGCUAGAGUGUGGGAGAGGAAAGUGGAAUUCCUGGUGUAGCGGUGAAAUGCGUAGAUAUCAGGAGGAACACCGGUGGUGUAAACGGCUUUCUGGACCAUAACUGACGCUGAUGCACGAAAGCGUGGGUAGCAAACAGG